GGGCCGAAUGGUUCUUAUCUGCCGUCACAUUCUAUGUUUCUAUGUUACUGGCCUCUUCUCUGUACCCAUAUCUGUAGCAUACAAGCAGACUUCCCAUGAAGUAUAGUCAUUAAUAACUGUUUCCUACUCCAGUACUAGAUGUACAUAAUUUACGUUGAUGCUCACCAAUUAGCUCCUAAAUGGGACCCAUUUAUUAUAAGUCUAAAUAGGAAGUAAAUUGGUAGCUCUAAAGCCAGACCCCCCAUACUUAGAUAGUAAUCUAAGCUACGUAUAUACUUACAUGAUAAAAGAACAAACAAGGUAAGAUAUAAUCAGAUGGGUAUUUGGCAAACUGACCG